CCCUUUUACCUGAUGCAUUGACAAGAAUAUUGCAAGGCAUCCACUCUGGAGCGGGGCACUUGUUUGGUGUUCUCACAAAUUUCUAAACUUCAUUCCAUCGUAGCGAGUCUCAUGGAAGAUAUAGAACAAGAUUUGAUGCAGGCCAGUUUUCAUCAGGAGUUCUGAAGUAACCAAAAAGGAUUGCCCUUUCAUAUGAACUUUUCUCCCAGAAUGCCUUUUUGGGGUGGCCCUUUAAAUUUGACCGAGACAAACAGUUACAGACCUAAAAUGGCUGCUUUCUUUUUUGCUGCAUCUUCUGCUUUUUCUAGCUGGUGAUGAAGCUCUCCUCUAACUCAGAACAAACACAGUGGAGUUGUCCAUAUGGUAUCUUUGUCACAAUGUGUGUGAGUAAUUGCCCAUAUCAGGGUGCCUGAACUUGCAUGUGUCAUUGCAUUCUCAGAAAUUCUACGCAGCUAACCCACACUUCUUCAACAUGGAUCAGAGUGCCUGAAGGACAUGGCCAGCACCUGGGGCAAUGAACUUUGUGAUCCACAGAAGGGUCCACUGGCUAAAUAUCAGGCGUGAUUAGAGAUUUCUACCUCCCUUGCAAAACAAAAGUGUGCCAGAUGGGUUACUGAAUGACAACCAUGUGUCAGUUUCUCUGCCAAGGGAAAAACACUGCUAGCUGCCAUGGUUACUAACUAGGGUUGCCAACAUUAUAUUUCAAAAACAAAGGACUGUUUUCUUAGCAUCCCCACCCCACCCCUCCUCCAGAUAUUAUUUAUUAUUAUUUAUUUAUUAAUAAGCAGUACUACCCUUAGUGAACGUAGGUGAUUUCUUGCUGCUUUUCAGCAACUCCCAAUCUUGUACAGAGAUGAGAAAAAAUGAGGAACAUGCCAUGUAAUAAGGCACUGUUGGCAACUGUGUUGCUAACAGAAUAUUAACGGGGUGUAUAGGUACAAAUGAAGUUGGCGUCAUCCACAUUCCUGACUGGCAAAACUUGUUUAAAAGUUAUAGUGUAUGUGCAUCCUUCAGACUUCUUUACAGCUUAGGCUUUAGGAUGCUUGUUGAAAUAUAUAUCACCAUGGAUAAGUAAGAGCUGCUGACUACACCUUUUAAAGAUGUUCAAAUGGCAGAUAACAUCAUUCAUAAUAAUGACUAGAUGAUGCUGAAAAGUCUGAUACUGCAUUUUUUGCACAAGUCUGGUAUGAGGUUGUUCUAUGCUAUGGUAGAAUUGUGCUUUGUAAUCGUAAAUGCCUGGAAAUAGGCCAUAGAUGUUAUCUUCAUUCUUGUGACAUCACUGUUUGCUAGCCUCAUAUUGUACUUUUGUAAUACCAACUUUUAAAACUUGCAUGAGACUCUACUACCACAGACUUCCAACACCCGAGCCACUUUUCCCUAGAGUCCUAUGACACUGUUGCCGAGAAGCUGUCUGAAUAUAGCAGUACAGUAUUCGCUAACAUGCACACACGCUGAAUUCUUGUUCAAGUCAACCACUCUUCAGUAGUUGUUCAUCAUGCACAAUUUGUGAAUGUUUGUUGCUGAUAGGAUUUUGCUUGCGUGUAUGUUUUAGGAAAGGUUUGUCCUUUGUAUAAAUACCUGUUUGUAUGUGAACAAGAGCAUUUGUUAUUCUUUAUUCGCUCUUUGUUAAUUUUAUGAUGACUCAUCACUCACUAUUCAUUAUUUUCCAUGUUAAAAUGUUUCAAUCAGAAAAUCAAGGAGCUGAGAUAAUGCCAUGUGACUUUAAACAGCACAGCUAAUGAAUAGUGAAU